AGGCCCUGGGGUGUCACACGUGGGGUUGCAACUCCCAAGAAGCAGUUAAUUCCUGCCGGGGCUUC
rnacentral:tRNA from 1 species